CUGGCCUUGACAUCCAAUGAAUUUUCCAGAGAUGGAUUGGUGCCUUCGGGAACAUUGAGACAGGUGCUGCAUGGCUGUCGUCAGCUCGUGUUGUGAAAUGUUGGGUUAAGUCCCGCAACGAGCGCAACCCUUGUCCUUAGUUACCAGCACGUAAUGGUGGGCACUCAAAGGAGACUGCCGGUGACAAACCGGAGGAAGGUGGGGAUGACGUCAAGUCAUCAUGGCCCUUACGACUAGGGCUACACACGUGCUACAAUGGCAUAUACAAAGGGAAGCCAAGUCGCGAGAGCAAGCUAACCUCAUAAAACCGAUCGUAGUCCGGAUUGCAGUCUGCAACUCGACUGCGUGAAGUCGGAAUCGCUAGUAAUCGUGAAUCAGAAUGUUGCGGUGAAUACGUUCCC
rnacentral:rRNA from 1 species